GACGAACGCUGGCGGCGUGCUUAACACAUGCAAGUCGAACGGUGACCCAGGGCUUGCCCUGGUGAUCAGUGGCGAACGGGUGAGUAACACGUGGGCAACCUGCCCCUGACUUCGGGAUAACUCCUCGAAAGAGGAGCUAAUACCGGAUACGACCACUUCGGACAUCCGAUGGUGGUGGGAAGUUUUUCGGUCAGGGAUGGGCCCGCGGCCUAUCAGCUAGUUGGUGGGGUAAUGGCCUACCAAGGCGACGACGGGUAGCCGGCCUGAGAGGGCGACCGGCCACACUGGGACUGAGACACGGCCCAGACUCCUACGGGAGGCAGCAGUGGGGAAUAUUGCGCAAUGGGCGGAAAGCCUGACGCAGCGACGCCGCGUGAGGGA
rnacentral:rRNA from 1 species